CUAUCACCUUAUUUUCAGUGCAACAAAUUUUGUAAUUAAUCUGGGAUCGAUAACCACAGACAAUGAAGAACUAGGCCGUGUGACAGUGUAUACUAAUAAGUCGAUUGUACACGAAAAUUACGACAAUAGAUAUCUUAAUAAUGAUGUCGCACUUAUUGAUUUGGGUGUAGACAUAGGAUCAAAUGAUUACAUCAAGCCAAUCCAUUUACCUUCGAAGGGAGAAGUUGUUGGGGUAAAUGAACAGCUUGAAGUAAGCGGAUGGGGAAUAACCAACGAUUCAGGUACAGUGGUGAACCGCGAUUUAAAUUUCGUAAAACUCUACAGUAUUAGCAACGAGGAAUGUUUGAAUUCAUUUAGCCCAAGAUUUGUUAUUGAAAGCACUCUGUGUGCUGUAGGAAAUACUACUGAAAGCCCAUGUAGCGGUGACAGUGGUGGCGGUCUCGUUAAGCGACAGAAUGGAAAAUCGAUACAUGUUGGAAUUACAAGUUUUGUUAAUGAUGCCGGUUGCUCUCUUGGCAUUCCCACGGGAUACUCCCGCACUGAGUCUUAUUUGGAUUGGAUAUCUAAGCAUACAGGCAUUAAAGUGUAACUUUGUAUGAAAUAAAAUCAACUAAAUGCA